rnacentral:piRNA from 1 species
UGCCCUAAAGACAGUUAUUAUUGCCAUGAC